rnacentral:rRNA from 1 species
UACGAAGGGGACUAGCGUUGUUCGGAAUUACUGGGCGUAAAGCGCACGUAGGCGGAUUUGUUAGUCAGGGUGAAAUCCCGGGGCUCAACCUCGGAACUGCCUUUGAUACUGCAAGUCUCGAGUCCGAUAGAGGUGGGUGGAAUUCCUAGUGUAGAGGUGAAAUUCGUAGAUAUUAGGAAGAACACCGGUGGCGAAGGCGGCCCACUGGAUCGGUACUGACGCUGAGGUGCGAAAGCGUGGGAGCAAACAGG